GAAAUCUGGUUUGGGAGACAAAGAAUCACUCAGAGCUACAAGAAACAACGUUUCCAUUGAUUGCACAGGAAUGUGUUUGAGGCUUCAGCUUACACUGGGCUUUUGCAGCAGCUGCCUUAGGACAACAUCAGCACCUGCCCGCCUCAGAUUCUUCUACAAACUCACUGGGCCUUGGAAACUGUCCUAGCUAAAGAUGGAGGCAAAGUCAGUCAUUCGGGAAGAUUAUUAUAUUACCAGUAAAGAGAGUUCAUUUUGGGAAGUAUUUUGGGCAGAUGCUUUCCUUUCUAAAGCCAGAGGUAUGCACCAAAUAAAAACAUGCCAUAACGUUCGUCUCUUGCACAAAUAAAGUUGAGCCCACAAUUCAA